rnacentral:rRNA from 1 species
GAUGAACGCUGACAGAAUGCUUAACACAUGCAAGUCUUUGGCGAAGCUGUGCUUGCACAGCCUAGCCAAGGCGGACGGGUGAGUAACGCGUAAGGAACUUGCCCUGCAGUCAGGGAUAACAGACGGAAACGACUGAUAAGACCUGGUAAAGUCAGGCGGACUCAUGUCCAGCCUGAUGAAAAGAGAUGCUGCAGGAGAGCCUUGCGUCCUAUUAGCUUGUUGGUGGGGUAACGGCCCACCAAGGCGAUGAUAGGUAGCCGGCCUGAGAGGGUGGACGGCCACAAGGGGACUGAGAUACGGCCCUUACUCCUACGGGAGGCAGCAGUGGGGAAUAUUGGACAAUGGGGGCAACCCUGAUCCAGCAAUUCUGUGGGCACGAUGAAGGUUUUCGGAUUGUAAAGUGCUUUCAGCAGGGAAGAAAAAAUGACGGUACCUGCAGAAGAAGCGACGGCUAAAUACGUG